rnacentral:rRNA from 1 species
AUUGAACGCUGGCGGCAGGCCUAACACAUGCAAGUCGAGCGGAUGAAGGGAGCUUGCUCCUGGAUUCAGCGGCGGACGGGUGAGUAAUGCCUAUGAAUCUGCCUGGUAGUGGGGGAUAACGUCCGGAAACGGGCGCUAAUACCGCAUACGUCCUGAGGGAGAAAGUGGGGGAUCUUCGGACCUCACGCUAUCAGAUGAGCCUAGGUCGGAUUAGCUAGUUGGUGGGUUAAAGGCCUACCAAGGCGACGAUCCGUAACUGGUCUGAGAGGAUGAUCAGUCACACUGGAACUGAGACACGGUCCAGACUCCUACGGGAGGCAGCAGUGGGGAAUAUUGGACAAUGGGCGAAAGCCUGAUACAGCCAUGCCGCGUGUGUGAAGAAGGUCUUCGGAUUGUAAAGCACUUUAAGUUGGGAGGAAGGGCAGUAAGUUAAUACCUUGCUGUUUUGGCGUUACCAACAGAAUAAGCACCGGCUAACUUCGUG